rnacentral:rRNA from 1 species
UUUGCUGACGACCGGCGAACGGGUGCGUAACGCGUAUAGAAUCUGCCUUGUACAGGAGGAUAGCCUUUAGAAAUGAAGAUUAAUACUCCAUAGUGUAGGGAAGUGGCAUCACUAUCUUACUAAAGAUUUAUUGGUACAAGAUGACUAUGCGUCCUAUUAGCUAGAUGGUAAGGUAACGGCUUACCAUGGCUACGAUAGGUAGGGGGUCUGAGAGGACUAUCCCCCACACUGGUACUGAGACACGGACCAGACUCCUACGGGAGGCAGCAGUGAGGAAUAUUGGUCAAUGGAGGCAACUCUGAACCAGCCAUGCCGCGUGCAGGAAGACUGCCCUAUGGGUUGUAAACUGCUUUUAUACGGGAAGAAACAACUCUACGUGUAGAGUCUUGACGGUACCGUAAGAAUAAGCACCGGCUAACUCCGUGCCAGCAGCCGCGGUAAUACGGAGGGUGCAAGCGUUAUCCGGAAUCAUUGGGUUUAAAGGGUCCGCAGGCGGUCGAUUAAGUCAGAGGUGAAAUCCCAUAGCUUAACUAUGGAACUGCCUUUGAUACUGGUUGACUU